CCUACGGGAGGCAGCAGUGGGGAAUAUUGGACAAUGGGCGAAAGCCUGAUCCAGCAAUGCCGCGUGAGUGAUGAAGGCCUUCGGGUCGUAAAGCUCUUUUACCAGGGAUGAUAAUGACAGUACCUGGAGAAUAAGCUCCGGCUAACUCCGUGCCAGCAGCCGCGGUAAUACGGAGGGAGCUAGCGUUGUUCGGAAUUACUGGGCGUAAAGAGUACGUAGGCGGUUAUUCAAGUCAGAGGUGAAAGCCCGGGGCUCAACCCCGGAACUGCCUUUGAAACUAGAUAACUAGAGUCUUGGAGAGGUUAGUGGAAUUCCGAGUGUAGAGGUGAAAUUCGUAGAUAUUCGGAAGAACACCAGUGGCGAAGGCGACUAACUGGACAAGUACUGACGCUGAGGUACGAAAGCGUGGGGAGCAAACAGGAUUAGAUACCCUGGUAGUCCACGCCGUAAACGAUGAUAACUAGUUGUUCGGUCACUUGGUGACUGAGUGACGCAGCUAACGCAUUAAGUUAUCCGCCUGGGGAUACGGUCGCAAGAUUAAAACUUAAAUGAAUUGACGG
rnacentral:rRNA from 1 species